rnacentral:lncRNA from 1 species
GGCGCGGUGGCUCACGCCUGUAGUCCCAGCACUUUGGGAGGCUGAGGCGGGCGGAUCACGAGGUCAGGAGAUUGAGACCAUCCUGGCUAACAUAGUGAAACCCUGUCUCUACUAAAAAUACAAAAAAAUUAGCCGGGUGUGGUGGUGGGCGCCUAUAGUCCCAGCUACUUGGGAGGCUGAGGCAGGAAAAUGGCGUGAACCCGGGAGGUGGAGCUUGCAGUGAGCCGAGAUUGCACCACUGCACUCCAGCCUGGGCGACAGAGCAAGACUCCGUCUCAAAAAAAA